UAGUAAGGAAAUGUAAUCAAGGCUAAAACAUGUAUGUGUGUAGCAACGGAAAUAAGAUUUGUUGUUUUUCCAUAACAUUUUUGAGCUUCUAGAUUCAGGGUGAGGAAUCACGUGACUUCAAUGGGGUUCUCACAUGUGUCACCACGGUUCAAAUCCGAUGUAAACAAUCAAGAAAGUGACAGUUAUUUCUAAAUUACCUUUUUAAGAGAAACGAUGGGAAAAUAUUUCUUAGCCUAUAGAAGACUAUACUAUUUUCUGCUUUUGGAUUAACUUGUUUUUAACGAUGGAAUCUUUGGCCAAAAUAUCGAAUCGACAGGAUUUUGUAGUACGAUGCAACGCUGUGUGCGCCGUUGGCAGUCAUGGUGAUACGUCCAAAUUAUUCAUUGUCAUUCUUUAAGAGACGGAGACAACCCUUAUAUGUUUCACCAAAUGUUGACAAAACAUGGAUAAAUUUAAUUGAUGCAGUGAUGAGUACAUUCAAAUGGAAGACAAGAUAUACUCCAGCCAACCCCGUUCCAUGUACAUCCCGUGGUAAAAGAAAGUCAACAGCGAAGAAAUGGUUUAAAGUAUUAUAUAUCACUAAACUAUUGAAUAAAAGAAAUAGUGAGGACAUGCUUUGCUGGUUGGAUCCAUUGUAUUUGUAUAUGACGUCAUUAUAAACUACUUAUUUCUUUUUUCAUGAUAUAUGAAAAACCCUUUGGGUGAAAUGAUUCAAAAGUUUUAACAUUUUAAGUUAUGGAUGUAAUGUAUGCAAUAACAAUUUCUUUGAUAUAUGUUUGCGUAUUACAACAGUAAAGUCAUGUUGUUUUUAUAUAAGUAUAAUCAUAUACCAUUGCUGUUUGACAUUACUAAUUAUAGGAAUUGUAAAUGUGUUUAAUUAUUUGUAAAAGAUUUCACAAUGUGAUUAUAUUAAAGCAACUGUGCACCAGAUGAUCAAAUUGCAAGAAAAAAAGAAAAAUGUCGAAAACUGACAUAAACUUGGUAUAAAUGUGUACAAUGCAUUGAAACUUACUAACUGAUGUAUCACAUAGUUUACAAUUUAUUUAAGUUUAGCAGUUAUUUCGUAUUUUUCCAUUAAAAAAGAUUACUGGGUAUGUCUACCUUAUAGAUUUCAUUCCUUAUGCGUGAUUGGCUAGUCGAUGUUAUCAUGUGAUAUUACCAAGUUAGGUUUAUAGCUUAAAUAUACCACUCGAUUGAAGUAAGCCUUUGUAGCACAGUGUAUACAACACUGGAUUGCAAUCUUGGCGACACGGGUUCGAACCCGGUCUCCGACACAAUUUUAUUUUUACAUUUUGGUACUUUUAUACAAUUAUGAUAUCAAAGCGUAACACAUUCUAUUGAAUAAUUGUCCUGGGAUUCAUUACAGGAUAAAACUUUUUUGGUGCCAAUCUGGUGUACAGUCCCUUUAAAUAUGUUAAAGCUGUUUUAAGAAAAUUGUUUAGAUAUUUAGAAAGAUUGCCAAAUUGUUAGUCAUGGGCAAAAGUUAUUAUAGAUAUAUUACAAUCACUAGGAUUUUAUGAUGCAUGGUUAUUUCAAAGCGUUGGUGAUUUUGAUAUAUAUUUAAAGUGAACGCAAACAGGGACUAAAAUGUUAAUGUACAAAAAUGGUUUGCUGAAUUUAUUAAUUCAGGUUCAGCCAAAACGUUUGUUUUGUUCACUGACUGUAAGUUACAACCACUUUUGUGUGCUGUAAAUGUAGUUAAAUUUAAUAAAUCAUUGACGAUACAUAGACUUUCGUCACAUAGGUAAGAAAUUGAGGCCGGUAAAUGACACAAACCUUAACCUAUUUCUGAAUUUGAAAGGAAGGGUCAAGUUUGCCAUAAAAUACAAGAUGAGUUCUAUUUCUUGUUUGAAUGUACUUUAUUUAGUUAUUGAAUAAGACAAUACAAUACAUACAUAAAAACUAUUUAAACAGACCAAAUACAACCAAAUUUGAUGAACUUUUACACAUACCAAUAAAUAUAUUUAAAGGAAAUUAGCAAUGUUUAUCGACAAAACUUCUUAAUUUAGAGUUCCUGUUGUACUUAUAAUGAUGUUAGAUAACUCAAUUAAAUUGUAUUUGUAACCACUGUAACCUCACUAUGGUUAUAUUAUAUUGUAUGUGUACUGUCUAUGUUUAAUUUGUGUUUCGAAAGUACCUUGUUAGUAAAGAUAAGUAAACAUGUAUUAAUAUAUAUCGUGACCUACGAUCGAUUGAUAGAAGUGCAUUUAAUUAUAUAUAUUAUGAAUUCCAUUGAUGUAUGUUCAUGGACCUAAGGCCUUUAUGCAUUUGAAUAAACUAUGAAACUUUA